rnacentral:rRNA from 1 species
GAUGAACGCUGGCGGCGUGCUUAACACAUGCAAGUCGAACGAUGAACCGGGUGCUUGCACUCGGGGAUUAGUGGCGAACGGGUGAGUAACACGUGAGCAACCUGCCCCUGACUCUGGGAUAAGCGCUGGAAACGGCGUCUAAUACUGGAUAUGUCCCGUCACCGCAUGGUGUGCGGGUGGAAAGAUUUUUCGGUUGGGGAUGGGCUCGCGGCCUAUCAGCUUGUUGGUGAGGUAAUGGCUCACCAAGGCGUCGACGGGUAGCCGGCCUGAGAGGGUGGCCGGCCACACUGGGACUGAGACACGGCCCAGACUCCUACGGAAGGCAGCAGUGGGGAAUAUUGCACAAUGGGCGGAAGCCUGAUGCAGCAACGCCGCGUGAGGGAUGACGGCCUUCGGGUUGUAAACCUCUUUUAGCAGGGAAGAAGCGAGAGUGACGGUACCUGCAGAAAAAGCACCGGCUAACUACGUGCCAGCCGCCGCGGUAA